rnacentral:rRNA from 1 species
CCUACGGGAGGCAGCAGUGGGGAAUAUUGCACAAUGGGGGAAACCCUGAUGCAGCGACGCCGCGUGAGUGAAGAAGUAUUUCGGUAUGUAAAGCUCUAUCAGCAGGGAAGAAAAUGACGGUACCUGAUCAAGAAGCCCCGGCUAACUACGUGCCACAAGCAGCGGUAAUACGUAGGGGGCAAGCGUUAUCCGGAUUUACUGGGUGUAAAGGGAGCGUAGACGGCAGCACAAGUCUGGAGGGAAAUGCCGGGGCUUAACCCCGGAACUGCUUUUGAAACUGUGCAGCUAGAGUGCAGGAGAGGUAAGUGGAAUGCCUAGUGUAGCGGUGAAAUGCGUAGAUAUUAGGAGGAACACCAGUGGCGAAGGCGGCUUACUGGACUGUAACUGACGUUGAGGCUCGAAAGCGUGGGGAGCAAACAGGAUUAGAUACCCCAGUAGUC